GUGCUCACUUCAGCAGCCCACAUACUAAAAUUGGAAUGAUUCAGAGAUUAGCAUGACCCCUGUGCAAGGAUGACAUGAAAAUUCAUGAAAUAUUCCAUAUUUUU